rnacentral:lncRNA from 1 species
AUUGUUUCAUAAUGGUCCAGUUAGGAUCUAUAUGGUUCGAUGUAGUGGAUCAAAUUGCAUAAAUGUUAAAGUACGGUGCGACACAUGGAAAAUAUGUUAAUUAAAAUACAAAUGUAAGAGAAAUUGCAUACUAUUGAUUGUUGAAGUUUUUAGAUUUGAAAGCGGGUUGUUCAUAACCUGAAGGAAAUUAGUGCAAUAAUAUUACGGUUAUGUCGUGAAACAAUCGCCCUCCUUAAGAAAUGUAACUCACGGAUUAGCUAGACAAUCUUGUUUAGAAAAAAGAAAAAAAAAAGAAAGCGAUUGAGCAUAAUUAAUGAAAAAUUCAACAAAUCAUUUGGAAAUGGUAAAGAAACGUGACAAUCCAUACUU